CCACAUUAUCCAUAUUAAAAAUGAUUAAUAUAGUUUUAGUUCUUAAAUGGUUGGUUAACCAUAUUUUGAAAACCAAAACCAACCCAUAACCAUAUUUUGCCAGGUCUAGCUAGAAUACACACGUUUAAAUAGUUCAAUACCAUGAGACAUAAUUGUAAAAAAGCCCACAGCCCAAAAAAUACGAAUAUAGUAAUGGUGAACCCAAGUAAAUAGUUUAUGAACUCAAUGUCGAUAAAUUCGCGAAUCUAGAAAUUCAUUUUGGAAAAUUGAAUCUUCUUCUCGAACUGUUUCUUUUUAAGAACCAAAAAGAUUUGUGCCAGC
rnacentral:lncRNA from 1 species